rnacentral:piRNA from 1 species
UUGUUGUUCCUUUCGGUUUUUAAAGC